rfam:Neurospora tetrasperma FGSC 2509 unplaced genomic scaffold NETTE2scaffold_3, whole genome shotgun sequence.
GGCAAGAUGGCCGAGCGGUCUAAGGCGCUGUGUUCAGGAUUCCUGAGUAUCGCAGUCCGAAAGGGCGUGGGUUCGAAUCCCACUCUUGUCA